AAAUGAAUAGACGGGGGCCCGCACAAGCAGUGGAGUAUGUGGUUUAAUUCGAAGCAACGCGAAGAACCUUACCAGGGCUUGACAUAUAAAGUAAUAUUUAAGAGAUUAAAUAGCUCUUCGGAGACUUUAUACAGGUGGUGCAUGGUUGUCGUCAGCUCGUGUCGUGAGAUGUUGGGUUAAGUCCCGCAACGAGCGCAACCCCUGUACUUAGUUGCCAGCAUGUAGAGAUGGGAACUCUAAGUAGACUGCCGCGAAUAACGCGGAGGAAGGUGGGGAUGACGUCAAAUCAUCAUGCCCUUUAUGUCCUGGGCUACACACGUACUACAAUGGGUGUAACAGAGGGAAGCAACACAGCGAUGUGAAGCGAAACCCAAAAAGCACCCCCAGUUCGGAUUGAAGGCUGAAAUUCGCCUUCAUGAAGCCGGAAUUGCUAGUAAUGGCAGGUCAGCAUACUGCCGUGAAUACGUUCCCGGGCCUUGUACACACCGCCCGU
rnacentral:rRNA from 1 species